rnacentral:rRNA from 1 species
GAUGAACGCUGGCGGCGUGCCUAACACAUGCAAGUCGAACGGAGUCAUAAAGCGGAAGUUUUCGGAUGGAAGAAUUAUGACUUAGUGGCGGACGGGUGAGUAACGCGUGGGUAACCUGCCUUGUACCGGGGGAUAACACUUAGAAAUAGGUGCUAAUACCGCAUAAGCGCACAGCUUCGCAUGGAGCAGUGUGAAAAACUCCGGUGGUACAAGAUGGACCCGCGUCUGAUUAGCUAGUUGGUGGGGUAGUGGCCCACCAAGGCGACGAUCAGUAGCCGGCCUGAGAGGGUGAUCGGCCACAUUGGGACUGAGACACGGCCCAAACUCCUACGGGAGGCAGCAGUGGGGAAUAUUGCACAAUGGGGGAAACCCUGAUGCAGCGACGCCGCGUGAGUGAAGACGUAUUUCGGUAUGUAAAGCUCUAUCAGCAGGGAAGAAAAUGACGGUACCUGA